UGACUUUUGGUGUGUCCUCACAGAUC
rnacentral:piRNA from 1 species